CCUACGGGGUGCAGCAGUGGGGAAUAUUGGACAAUGGGCGAAAGCCUGAUCCAGCCAUGCCGCGUGUGUGAAGAAGGCCUUCGGGUUGUAAAGCACUUUCAGUGGGGAAGAAAGCCUUGGGGCUAAUACCCUCGAGGAAGGACAUCACCCACAGAAGAAGCACCGGCUAACUCCGUGCCAGCAGCCGCGGUAAUACGGAGGUGCGAGCGUUAAUCGGAAUUACUGGGCGUAAAGCGCGCGUAGGCGGUCUGAUAAGCCGGUUGUGAAAGCCCCGGGCUCAACCUGGGAACGGCAUCCGGAACUGUCAGGCUAGAGUGCAGGAGAGGAAGGUAGAAUUCCCGGUGUAGCGGUGAAAUGCGUAGAGAUCGGGAGGAAUACCAGUGGCGAAGGCGGCCUUCUGGACUGACACUGACGCUGAGGUGCGAAAGCGUGGGUAGCAAACAGGAUUAGAUACCCCAGUAGUC
rnacentral:rRNA from 1 species